rnacentral:rRNA from 1 species
UACGUAGGUGGCAAGCGUUGUCCGGAGUUAUUGGGCGUAAAGCGCGCGCAGGCGGUGCGGUAAGUCUCUGGUGAAAGCGCUCGGCUUAACUGGGCGAGGGCCGGGGAGACUGCCACGCUGGAGGGGAGCAGAGGCGAGUGGAAUUCCGGGUGUAGUGGUGAAAUGCGUAGAGAUCAGGAGGAACACCGGUGGCGAAGGCGGGUCUCUGGGCCGUAACUGACGCUGAGGAGCGAAAGCGUGGGGAGCGAACAGG